rnacentral:rRNA from 1 species
GAUGAACGCUGGCGGCGUGCUUAACACAUGCAAGUCGAACGGAAAGGCCCAAGCUUGCUUGGGUACUCGAGUGGCGAACGGGUGAGUAACACGUGGGUGAUCUGCCCUGCACUUCGGGAUAAGCCUGGGAAACUGGGUCUAAUACCGGAUAGGACCACUUCUUGGAUGUUGUGGUGGAAAGUUUUUUCGGUGUGGGAUGAGCUCGCGGCCUAUCAGCUUGUUGGUGGGGUAAUGGCCUACCAAGGCGUCGACGGGUAGCCGGCCUGAGAGGGUGUACGGCCACAUUGGGACUGAGAUACGGCCCAGACUCCUACGGGAGGCAGCAGUGGGGAAUAUUGCACAAUGGGCGCAAGCCUGAUGCAGCGACGCCGCGUGGGGGAUGACGGCCUUCGGGUUGUAAACUCCUUUCGCUAGGGACGAAGCGUUUUGUGACGGUACCUGGAGAAGAAGCACCGGCUAACUAUGUG